AACGAACGCUGGCGGCGUGUUUAAGACAUGCAAGUCGCACGGGGGAAGUGAGUAGCAAUACGAGCUUCUUCAGUGGCGCACGGGUGAGUAACACGUGAAUUACAUGCCCUUCAGUGGGGGAUAGCCCAGGGAAACUUGGAUUAAUACCCCAUGGUAUCGCGAGAUUAAAGGCGGCCGCAAGGCUGUCGCUGAAGGAUUGGUUCGCGCCCUAUCAGCUUGUUGGCGAGGUAACGGCUCACCAAGGCUACGACGGGUAACCGGUCUGAGAGGACGAUCGGUCACACUGGAACUGAGACACGGUCCAGACACCUACGGGUGGCAGCAGUCGAGAAUAAUUCACAAUGGGGGCAACCCUGAUGGUGCAACGCCGCGUGGAGGAUGAAGGUCUUCGGAUUGUAAACUCCUGCCAUCUGGGAGUAAGACCUGGCUGUGAAUAGCAGACAGGGUUGAUAGUACCAGAAGAGGAAGGGACGGCUAACUUCGUGCCAGCAGCCGCGGUAAAAC
rnacentral:rRNA from 1 species